CUCCGACGCGUGGAGCCGAGAGAAGGGCGGUCUGUCCCCGCCGGGACAUAAAACACAGCUGGUAGACUCGUCCCCUACCCACACGGAACUCGCUCUACCAUCAGUCGAUCGAUCGGUGCUACGUACUGGGCGCUUACGGGGCGCGGAGCGCUCCCCUCAGUGCCGGGGAGAGUCCGCUCGCCGGAACGGAGCCGGCGGCCACGUUCCCCGCCCACCGGGAGCCCGCGGCGGGUCGGAGGGAGGGCCCGGCCCGGCCCCGGGGCCCCGGGACCGCGUCCGUCUGUCGGUCCGUCGUAUUUAUCGGACGCUUACUGGGCGCGGGGCACCGUACUGAGAGCUCGGGCGAGGACAGUGUGACAAUUCCAAGUCCACGCCGAGCUUACGGUCCGGAUGGGGAGACGGACGUCCGUAGAGAUAAGGCGGGGGAACCGAGGCCCAGAGAAGCGGAGCGGCCGGCCCGAGGUGACGCGGCGUGACCUCCCGGACCCCCCCCGGACCUCCGGACGCCCGGGCCCCGUCGGCCGGACGGCGCCGCCGGACCGCCCAGCCUAUGGGAUGCACCCCAAAGCCUGCCACGGCCUGCAGAGGAAAGACCGGCCCCUCGCCCCGAGGACGCCCGCGGGCCCGCCGGGCCAGGGCCAGC